AGGGACAAACGAUUAUUAGCGGCAUCGUAACUUUAGUAGACGUUUAUGAAUAAGGGGGUAAGUUUGUGAUUCUACGUUAUUUAGAACUCAAGAAAUUAAUAAUGUACGUAUAAUUCAAAAUGGCCGCCAUAAAAUUAAAGAUGGCCGACGGAGGAGUUGGUUCCUAUCAAAAACUUAAAGCUAUGAAACUUAUAAGUGCCUGAAAAAAAAUUGGUGCUUUUUUUUAAUACUACGUCGGUGGCAAUGGCAAACAAGCAUACGGCCCGCCUGAUGAUAAGCAGUCUCCGUAGCCUAUGUACGCCUGCAACUCCAGAGGAGUUACAUGCGCGUUGCCUACCCUAAACCCCUCUCCCCCUCGUUGAGCUCUGGCAACCUUACUCACCGGCAGGAACACAACACUAUGAGUAGGGUCUAGUGUUAUUUGGCUUCGGUUUUCUGUAAGGUGGAGGUACUGCCCCAGUUGGGCUCUGCUCUAGAUCUGGAAUAACAUCCGCUGUGCUGUGCCCUACCACACAAAGCGAGAUGACAUUCACAAUGCCCAUACCUCUCCUCUCUCUCUCUAUGCUUUUGUCCAGCGUGUCCACAUUUACGACAAUUUGUUCGAGUAUUCUGUCCCACUAUAUCAAUAUUAUGCGACAAUCUUACAUCAACCUAGUCACACAGUAAGCUCAAUACGGCUUGUGUUAUGGGUACCUGACAAUGUAGAUAACAUAUCAGUCAUCACAGGCUUUUGCGUCUAUUGCAGACGAUUUAUGCAUUGUUGUUUAGACAACGGGUUUGGUGACUGGAGGCCGAGGCCUUCAUAUUUUUGGCAGAGAAAGCUCGUGCCACCCGAGGUUCUAGCCCCGGUUUGCUUUGCAGGCUUGGCCGCAUAGCCUUCUCCCCUCCACAACACGCUUCCGCCAUCCAUCAUGGUUUUCAGCAGAAAACUUUGUAGCGACGUAAAUUUACUGCCAUCUUUAGACACAUGAUUAAAACAUUUAGAACGCCAUUUGACUUUGUUCUUUAUUCUUUCAUCGAUAUGUGUUCAAGUUGUUAAAUAUGAAAAAGUGCCGCCAUCUUACCGGGCCCUACCUAAAGGUUAUGGCGUCAUCGUUCGAACGAUGCUUCUAUACCUUUGGCCUUUGAUCUAUUACAUGGCGCCACUUUUUAAUAUUUAACAAAUUUAACACAUAUCAGUGAAAGAAUAAGGAUCAAAGUCAAAUGGCGUUCUAAAAGUUUUAAUCAUGUGUCGAAAUAUGGCAGUAAAUUUACUUCGCUACAAAUAUGGAGUGUGGAUUUAAGAGGAGAGAAAUCUCUUAUGAUAGAACUGUUGCAAAAGUGUCCAGCUGUCAGCUAUAAAUAAUAGUUCCAAAUCUCUCCAGAGUAGCGCUAGAGUAGCUAAGAACCUAGGCGCUAUUGAUGGAGUGAAGUGCGCUGUCUAUGAUUUGAUUUUUUUGUUCAAGUACUCUAGGUAUUGUAGCGCCACCUAUUUAAGGUUUUUUGAUGACACUUUUUGUUACAUGGAGAUUUCUUUCCUUACCUCCACCUUCCAUAAAUUGUAGCUUUGCGUAGAGAGCGCCACUAACACAUACUGAGGGCCUACCGCGAAACACAAAAAUCGAAAUUUAGUUAUCUGCAUGUUCGAGCGAUAGACGUAGAUAACGAAAUAUCGAUUGAUGCAUCAAUGUCAUACCUAGUGAAAACUUCUCAAAAACGGUUUAAGGCAUAGUAUAUACCUAAGUUAAUCUAUGGGUUACAAUAUGUGCUAGUGCUGCACUCUGGCGUAGAAAAUUGGAGUAAUACUAUUAUGUCACAGUUCCAAAAUUCGUGUUCGAUGUGAUACAUAUGGCGUUUUAAAAAAAAACCGGCCAAGUGCGAGUCGGACUCGCGCACAAAGGGUUCCGUACCAUUAUUUAUAAAAACGGCAAAAAAAAUGUUUGUUGUAUGGGAGUCCCCCUUAAAUAUUUAUUUUAUUAUGUUUUUAGUCUUUGUUGUUAUAGCGGCAACAGAAAAACAUUGUCUAUGAAAAUUUCAUGAGAUACAGCCUGGUGACAGACGGGCGGAUGGACGGACGGACAGCGAAGUCUCAAUAGGGUCCCGUUUGACCCUUUAGGUACGGAACCCUAAAAAAGAGUUACUUAUACUUUUCUUAAGUUUUUUAAACAACACUUUGUGAAGGCUUAGAAUUCUAUGAACAAAUGAAAUUACAAGAAAUAAUGCAUUUCACAUAAACAAAAUUCAAAAGAAAGCAUGAUAAUUACAUGUUGCCUAUGGAUAUUGUAGUUGGUAAUCAAAAAUAUCAUUAAAUACCUACAUCACGAAAUUUUGAGUACAUUUAUAAAGAGAACAAUGUAAAUAUGUUGGAAAGGAAAAACACAUGUUGUGAAAGCAUUAUUUCUUUAUCAGGUAUGAGAACUAAACAAUAUGAAAAGACGUCGCAAUACUGAAAAGGUAUACCAUAAUUUUAAGAAUAACUCGAUGGCUAUUAAUAUUAGUAGCUUCUAAAAUGACUUAAAUUAUAUCUAAAGUAUUAUUUAGAGUAUUAACGAAUGCUUGCAUUUAUUUUUUGGGUUAUUAAUUUUCAUCUAUUUCUAAUCAGUGCCACAAAAAAAAAAACAGAAGGUCCGUUCUCGCCGUUCUUGAAAAUACAUACCUAAACUUGCCCGACUCACUAGGGUUACUUCUGUAUUGAUUUCGAAUUUUAAAAAGGAGUAGGUAAUAUAAGUUUACAGACAUACAUACAUCGAUUCGUUUAUACAUACAUCUUAUCAUGUUUACAUUCCUUAGAGACUGCAUUUUGACGUACGUGACAGUAGGUACCUACGUAGCGGCGGGGACGUCAAGUGAGCAACGCGCGCACAGCCCGACUAAGCUCUGCCCGAGAGUGCCCGAGAACGCCUGUAAAUGUAAAGUCUGUGUGCGUAAAUGUCACGUUUGUGUGCGUGCGGCGAAAAUGGCACUUUGUACUGAGCGGACUCUGCUCCGGCGCGCGCCGGCGAUAUUUACUUUGUGUCAGUGCUGAGAAUUAAAUUAUUAUAGAAAAAAUAUGAAUUCAUGUUUAAUAUCCUUAUUAUAAGAUGUAGUUUAGCGAUAAUUAUUCAUACUCAAAUAAUUGAUUUAAUGAUUUAAUUAUCUUUUUGACAGAAAGUUAAAAUUAUAUAGGCGAAUUUUUGUGGGUUGUACCAUUCCUUAAAUUUAAUUACGUACAAAAAUGUCGUAUUAUUUUAGUAUUGUUUACUAAAUUGUAUUAUUGGGUCAUUUUAUUAAGCUAUUAAAUUAAUAGUCAUUUAAUCCUAGCAUAGAAACAUGUAUACGUAAAUCAUACCUCACUAUUUUAAAUUCAAAUUAUUCGUAAUUAUUGUGACAAAAAUACGCUUCCAUUUAGAUUUUUGUUACAGCACAAAAUGCCGUUGUUAAAUAAUUUAUAUUUUAUUUUAAAAUAUUAAAAACAGAAAUAUAUUUAUGUCAAUUAUUUUGUUUAGAAAAUAACAAACUGUAAAAAUAAAGUCAUGGAUUACCUGAUGACAAAGAGAAUUUGAAAUAGAGGUGGAUUGUCAAAGAAAAUUUUGUAGCCACAGUAAAUUUACUGCCAUCUCUCGCUGCACAUGAUUAAAAUUUUUAGAACGCCAUUUGACUUUGAUCCUUAUUCUUUCAUUCUUUCAAUUUAUAUGUGUUAAAUUUGUUAAAUAUCAAAAAGUGGCGCCAUCUUACCGGGCAUCGGCUAAAGGUUGUGGCGCCAUCGCUCGAAACGAUGCCGCCAUAACUUUGGCUUUUGUUUUGAUCUGUUAGAUAGCGCCACUUUUUUUUAUUUAACAAAUGUAACACAUAUCAGUGAAAGAAUAAGGAUCAAAGUCAAAUGGCGUUCUAAAAGUUUUAAUCAUAUGUCGAAAGAUGGCAGUAAAUUUACUGUGGCUACAAAGUUUUCUUUAACUAUCCACAUCUAUUUCAAAUUCUCUUUGCUGAUGAGGAGAGUUUACCAAGGCCGAACAUGAGCGAGGCCGUUCAUAUUUCCGCUAUUGUAUAUUUUUUACUCAAAAACACAUUAAAUAAAAUAAAAUUAAUAUUUAUUUCACAACGGUAUUUAAAAGAGUUAUUUAACUAGUAAACAAGUUGCCUAUAGUAGUUCCUUCGCCUUUAUUGUAAAUAUAUUAAUGUUUAUAUUCCUUGUUUGCUAUUUAAAUAACUAGCUUGCGUCAAUUUUCGAACCGGUUGUGAAGUAAGUUUCGGUUUUCGCCCUCAAACGACUGAAUGAAAUAGAAAAAAAGUAUUUUGUACCACGAGAACCGUCCAUAGUCGAAACUUAUUUAUUUAUAAAAAAAUAUUAGUUUUGUAAAAUAAUUGUAGAUUUUUGAAAAAUUAUUUUUAUACUAUUUUGCAUCAGUACAAAUCUGAAAUAUAAAAAAAUAAUAAAUAGUAAUCAUUUUUUUAACUGUAUCAAAUUAAUAAUAGUGCCUUGUUUCAAAAUACAAUAUUAUUUGCAUAAAACUUACAGAUUCAGUAUUGUAAUAAUGAAUUAAGGAUUGAUUUAUCAUUUUUAUGUAUAAUAAUCAAAGAGAAUUGAUUGUUAUAGAGAGGUAAAGUCUAAGAAAAAACGUGUUUUUUAUUUUGACAUCCAAAACAGAUGGCGCUGUUCUGAACCAUAUGUUUUGCGGUCACUAAAUUGUCGAACGUCAACUUUGCCAAUCAGAGUUACCGCAAAAUGUAUGGAGCUGUACAGCGCCAUCUCGUUUGCCCGUCAAAUUCGAAGCGCGAAUUUGUCUUAGAUUUUAUACAGCUUACUCAAUCAAUGUAUCUUUGAAGAUAAAAGUACAUUGUUGUAAAAAAAAAGAUUUUUUAAUUUGUGUUUUAUGUUUUAAAAUUGCUGCUAAAAGUUUUUCAAAAAUCUACAUUACAAGUACUCAUUGUAAGUUUUUUUUUAAGGCAGCCAUACUAGAGAUAGUAAAAUAAUGUAAGAACUCAAGAUUAUACGACACCUUAUACAGUUACAUAUGUAUACUCAGAAAAUUCGAUUCAAAAUUGUAUACGCUAUAAUGGAAAUACUUUUUAAUGUAAGUGUAAAUUUAUUGAAAAAACGGUUUAUUUUGAACGGCUUUGGAAAUAUAAAAAGUUCUCUUUUCUGAAUUAAAAAAAUGUUUUUACGAAAAUUGGAUAAAAAACAAUUAUAAAAACAAUAUUGUCAUUUUUAACAGAAUUGAGAACUGUGUAAAUGAUUAGAUUCAAACUUUACUUAAUUUUGCGUCACAAAUAUUGAUGUAAAAUUUAUUAAAUAUAAUAUCAAUUCAUCGCAAGUAGAUAAAGCAUAAAAUUGCUUAAUAAGUGAUGUCGUUUAUACGAAGCAACGGAUAUACGUAAAAGAAUGGUGAAAGAAAAUGAUUUUUUUAUCAUUAUUAACUGUAUACAUGUAGUAAUAAAAAAUGUAAUUUUACUAAAGUAUUUUAACGACGUUUUUUUAAUUUUUUUUUAUAAAUAUAGUAAAAAUGUCCACUCUCUAGUAUACUAUAGAUAUACGCUUGCUAGUUGUAAGUUUCCAAGUUAAAUAUACAUAUUAUUGCAUAAUAAGGCGCUAGUCAAUAAAUACAUUUUAGGCUCAAA